rnacentral:tRNA from 1 species
GUUGCUGUAGUUUAAUGGACAGAACGGUUUCCUCCUAAGAAAUCGGCGAAGGUUCGAUUCCUUCCAGCAACUCCA